rnacentral:tRNA from 1 species
GGGGAUAUAGCUCAGUUGGUAGAGUGCUUACUUUGCAUGCAUAAGGUCCUGGGUUCAAUCCCCAGCACCA